GAAAGCUCCUCAAGAAUAAGGACUUUGUGUUGUUUGAUGCUAUAUUCUCAAUAGCAAGAAUAAAGCCUGCCACAUAAUAGGUGCUCAUUAAGUAUUUGUUGUCAAAUGAAAAACUUCUAGCCAUUCAAUAUCUCUUUCCUGACCUACUGAAGAAUAAUAAAGAACUUUCUUUUCUCUCUAGACUCCCAAAUAAUUUUGUUUUGUAUCUCUUCUGUAAGCCUAUGAAGAACUCUCUUCACUAUUUGAUGAUAUCUUAUUUGCAUUUUAUUCCCUGGCACCUAGCAUAACAUCAAUUAACAAGUAUUUGUUGAAUAAAUAAAUGAAUGAGUUGAUAAGGGGCCUGUAUUAUAAGCAUAAUUACUGGGUAAAUAGAAUAAAUCCUGCCCUAUCUCCCUUCCUCAUACUUCCAUUCUUACUCUUAUUCUUCUUCCAACCAUCCCCACCUGAACCCUGAAACUGGCUACCCUCUCUCUUACCCAUGCCUCCUCAUAAUCAUAUCUUCUUACUCUUACCUCUUAUUAAUCCUAGAUAAGCAAUGUUACAAACUUACUUCUAAAGUAUAAAUAGAAAAUUUAAAACACCACCAAAAUUAAAUGUCUAAUGGUUAAUCCUCAUCCUGUCCUUUCUUUACAGAGACAGUGCUCUGCAGGGAGUCUACCACUGUGAUGGUUAAUACUGAGUGUCAACUUGAUUGGAUUGAAGGAUGCAAAGUAUUGUUCCUGGGUGUGUCUGUGAGGGUGUUGCCAAAGGAGAUUAACAUUUGAGUCAGUGGGCUGGGAAAGGUAGACCCAGCCGUAAUCUAGGUGGGCACCAUCUAAUCAGCUGCCAGCACAGCUAGAAGAUAAAGUAGGCAGAAAAACAUGAAAACAUUAGACUGGCCUAGCCUCUGAGCCUACAUCUUUCUCCCAUGCUGGAUGCUCCCUGCCCUUGAACAUCAGACUCCAAGUUUUUCAGUUUUGGGACUGGGACUCACUAUCCUUGCUCCUCAGCUUGCAGACAGCCUAUUGUGGGACCUUAUGAUCAUGCAUUCUGCUGGACCAACAAACAACAGUGUAUUUUUUCAUCCCCCUGCUGUUUGACAAUAAGAUUUUCUUAGCCUUGUAACAAUUAACAACUCAAAAAUAUACAUCUUUGUAUAUGUCUCCUUGAACAAGAGUUUCUCCCUGAGAAGCUCCCAGAAGAAGAACUGUUGGGCUAUGGAGAAUAUGCAUUGUCAACCUUACUUGGUAGUUCCAACAUAGCUUUCCAAAGUGUUUAUACUUAUUUUCCGUCCCUGCAACCACGCCUUGGAGUUCUUGUUUUGUUUGCAUUAUCACCAACAGUGAAUAUUAUCAAACUUAAUAAAUUUGUAAAUAUAAAAUGUUUUGUCCUUGUUUUAAUUUACAUUUCCUAAGUACUAAAGAAGUUGGACAUCUUUACAUAUAUUUAUUGGCCAUUGUAUUAGUUCAUUUUCACACUGCUAAUAAAGACACACCUGAGCCUGAGUAAUUUAUAAAGAAAAAGAAAUUUAAUGGACUCAUAGUUCCACAUGGCUGGGGAGGUCUCACAAUCAUGGCAGAAGGUGAAUGAGGAGAAAGACAUGUCUUACAUGGCAGCAGACAAGAGAGAGCAUGUGAGGGGAACUGCUGUUUAUAAAAUCAUCAGAUUUCAUGAGACUUAUUCACUAUCAAGGGAACAGCAUGGGAAAAACCCGCCCCAUGAUUCAAUUACCUCCCACAGGCUCCCUCCCAUGACACAUGGGGAUUAUUAGAAUUCAAGGUGAGAUUUGGGUGGGGACACAAAGCCAAACCAUAUCAGCCAUCUAUCUUCCUCUGUCAGUUUACCAUUAUAUAUUUUAACAAUAUUUAUAUCUGAUAUUAUUGAUUUCUAAGAGCAUUUUAUAUAUUCUGCGUAUUAAUAUUUCAUUGGUAAUAUGAGUUGCAAGUGUCUUUUCUCAGUCUAUGACUUUUAUUUUCAUCUCUGUCCCCUUUUAUACAGAAGUUUUAUGUUUCAGUGUAUCAGAAUGUAUUAAUUUUUCCUUUCGUGCUUUCUCUAAGAAUUAUAUCUUAGGAGUAAGUUCAAGAGAGCUAUUGUACAAUAUGGUUGUAUAGUUAAUAACAUUUUGAAAAUCACUGACUAGAUUGUUUUUACCACAAAAAAUGAUAAGUACAUGAUGUAAUGUAUGUGUUAAUUAGCUCAAAUGAGCCAUUCCACAAUGUAUACGUAUUUCAAAACAAUGUUGUACACAAUAAGUAUAUAAAUAUAUGCAAUUUCUAUUGGUCAAUUAAAAAUAUAUUUUACUAAAGGCAUAAAAAUAUUCUCCCAUUUUUUGGUUGAAAGUUUUAGAGCUUUGCUGAUCACAUUUAGGUCUUUAAGCUAUCUGGAAUGUAUUUUUGUGAAUGAUGUGAUAUAGCAAUCUCAUUUUAUCUUGUACUAUAUAAUGGCCAAGUUCCUCAGCAUCAUUUAUUGAUGAUUUUAUCCCCUUUCUCAUAUAAAAAACUCCCAA
rnacentral:lncRNA from 1 species